UGUGGCCGCGCGCACAAGCCGGCCGAAAUGUCACUAGGCGCGCCACCGCAGCGCCGUUCGGCGGGGAAGGUUUCUUAUUUUAGAAAUUGUAACUUGGUAAUGAAAAUUGCGCCAACGGGGAAAAAGGCCCGACAUGGGGCAACACAGCGCAUCCAAAGAUCUUUAUAAAAAGGACAUGAAACUAUGACUAGUUGCAGUAAAUACAACGUCGUGACAAAAAUUGAGCGAAAUAUCUUAAGAAAAGCGAAGCCUGAUACCUCAAAGAAGAACGAGAACUGGGACUGCAGUCUUUAUCAAUAAAAUAGGGUUGCCGAUAUGCGGCAACGUGCCCUGUGUAAAAAAUGGCUUUACGAAGAAUGCUCGAAGACAACAUUCGAGGAUCUUGAUGACAUAAUUUGCCCUAACUGUGCAAAUUAAUGUGCAUCCUCCCAUCGAUAUCCCUGGGCCUUAUUAUUUACUCCUUCAAGUAACAAAGCCCAUGAGCCCCAUGCUACAAUGUUUUAAAUUACUUAUUUGUUUGGAAUUAUGUUUUAUUUUUAUACUUUGUACCUGAAAUAAACAUUGUUCGUGUA